rnacentral:rRNA from 1 species
ACAGAGGUCCCGAGCGUUGUUCGGAAUUACUGGGCGUAAAGCGUGCGCAGGCGGUUGUGCAAGACAGAUGUGAAAUCCCCGGGCUUAGCCUGGGAAUUGCAUUUGUGACUGCACGGCUAGAGUGUGUCAGAGGGGGGUAGAAUUCCACGUGUAGCAGUGAAAUGCGUAGAUAUGUGGAGGAAUACCGAUGGCGAAGGUAGCCCCCUGGGAUAACACUGACGCUCAUGCACGAAAGCGUGGGAAGCAAACAGGA